UCACAAGUCUUGCUUCAA
rnacentral:snRNA from 1 species